UUGUAUGUCAAAGAUGAACUGGCUUUACCUUUGCCAGAGCUGAGAUCUCAGAUCAGUUGGUUUUGAUUAAUCAGAAAGGAGGUGAUCCUGGGUGGGCCCCAGCUAAUCAGAUGAACCCUUAAAGAGACAGGCCCUUCUUGAAGCCAAAGAUUUAGAAGCAUCAGAGAGAUUCUACCAGCCUUCAGGAAGUAAGUUGCCAUGUCCUGAGAGGACCAUGUGUCUAGACAGCUGAGAGCAACCCUCGAAUGACAUGGAAGGAGUAGGAGCCUCGGUCACAACCACCAGUUACUGACUUCUGCCAACAAUCUGAAUGAACUUGGAAGAUGGCUUACCUUGUAUGUUCCUGCCCUUGCCAUCAAGUCAGCUAUUUCUCUGAAGAGCCCAGAUUCCUUGAAACUGAGGACAGUAUUUACCACCCAGGAUCUGGCUGCUGAAUAUGCUCUUUGCUGCUGAGUCUGUCAGAUGCAGACAGGCCCCGGGAAUGCACUGUGGCUGUCCUAUAGAUCAAAAAGUGGCAGUUUGUGGGGAAUGGGGCUUUUGAUGAGUUCCAGAUCUGUUCUCCCCACUCUGGUGACAGCUAGGCUGCAGGUUCACAGUUUCUGGAGUUUCUGAGCUGUUAAUCUCCCUGGCUACUGUGCAGUUGAGGAGGGGAAAAUGAGAUUAAGGCAAGUUACUGCCCCAAGGCCUUUUUCCAGAAUUCCACUCUUUGUGCUCAAUAAAUUCUCUUUGAAUUGUUACAAGCCUUUGAUUUGCAGAAUUCUGAAAAAAAUUGAUUUUGGUUGUUUCUGCCAGUGUUCUCAUGCCUUCUCUGGAGUAUUGCAUUUUCAGAGAUCCUUAGUCUGCCAUUUCAGAAGUGGAAACUCUGAUUUUUUUAAGUAUAGUUUGACAUUUUUAAGUAUAGUUUAACAUCAUAAUGCCUUUUUUUCAUAUUUGCACUUUAGAAAUAUUUAAGACUGCCAUAGAGACUGAAUAUGUGCCAUAUUCUAGUCCUUUCAUUCCCGAAUCCCCCUUUGUGCCUCACUGUCCAGAGACUCCUCUUCCUGGCAGGAUGCUCCUCAGUCCUGAGCAUUUAGGGCCUUAACUCCUCCAAAUGUGUAAGCUACCUUUUUCAGGGGUUCCACAGAAUGGCUUUAUUUACCAUUCACAUACAUCUUGAGUAAGUAUGAGUUUAUAUCCCAGCUGGAUCCUACGCAAAAAUAUUUGAAAUUUAUUUGCCUGGAUGUGUUGCUUGGCAGGUCUAUUUGUUACAUAAUAAUAUAAAUGGGACUUAAAUCUUAGACUUCCUGAACAAAUUUGUGAUUCAGCCCUGUAUCUGCUGACACAGCAGCUCUUUUCAGCCUUCUGUAUGCCCGCGGACUCCAAGCCAGUUUAAACUUCCUUGAGUAGCUGAAUUCUGUUAAGUGAACCUGGAAUCAACAGAAACGCUCCUUAUUUCAGCCAAAUGCACAUAAAACAGUCAUUCCAGUCUACGAAGAAGGAAAACCUGGCCCCAGUGAAUCCCUGGUUGUCUCGGGCUGAAUGCUUGUCCCUGUGCAGCUCUGAAGGGUUCUGUGUUCUCCCCAAACUGGGCAGAUGAUGGGCACGGCCCCUCAGUAAACAAACCUGCCAGCUCACCUGGCCCCAGCCACAAUAGUGCUUCAGUGCAGGGCUCUCUCUGCUCUUUGGGAUAUGCCCUACAGCUAAUUGGUACUAGGAAAAAGGGAAAAGACCUUGACCUUCUGAAUGGGAUAUUCAAACCCCUCUGUCUGGGGAACAAAAGGCCUCACAGGGAAGGGGUACCCAGUAACAAGUGGGGAGACCUGGGAGAUAGCUAGGAAGAUACUGCAGGUGCCCAUAGCUUCUGUUCUGUUACAUUUCUGCAGAAAACUGCUGUAACAAGGCUGUGGGAUGGGAACUGCAAGAAGAAUCCUGAAAUAGGCCUCCUGGGCCUACCCACGAAUUUGCGAGGUCUAUUGUUCCAAACCCGCCAUGUCCAGUCACAGGAUUGGGAAAUGGGGUUUGGCCACGCUCUUGGCCUCGCCUCACUGGCCUUCCCUCAUUCUUCUGAGGCCUCACCCACAUUUCCUGUGUUGUUAGGGGGCAGCUUUAGUGAACAUCAGGCAAAGGCGCCGCUCACCCUCCACCCUUGUGGUCUCAGCAGCCCUCACACCCCUUGUCAUAAAUUGUCCUCCCUGAUAUUCUGGAAGCAGCACAGGGCCCUCAGUGUUCCUGUCUUGUUCAAGUCUGUAUUCCCUGUAAGGAUCAGGCAUACAAGAGGCCCUCCCUUAAUAAUCAUUGAGUCACUGAAAUACUAAACCAUUAAAGGGGUAUGGUCUUUCUCCUCAACCAUGUGAAAAAUGGUGGGCCUUACAGUGAAAGAGUAAAAAGGAUUUUUUAAAUGUUUAAGCCUUGAAGGGGUAGAAGCCAAACCAUAAGGUGACACAGAUGGAGGUGAUGUGUCUUCCUGCUCAGGUCACUCAAGAACUUCUGGGACCAAGAGCACUGCUGGCUGUCUCCCUGCCUCGAAGCAGAGGGGCCUUGACUUAAGAGUUCAGCUUAGGAUUUUUCAACUUUACGAUGGUGUGAAAGUGAUACACAUUCAGAAGAAUCUGCACUUGAACUUUGAUUUCUCUUCUGAUGCUGGGCAGGAGCAGUGCGCCUCAACUCCGGAUGAGCCUCGCAGCCAUGAGGGUAACCAACCCAUACACUGACAGCUGUUCUGUUUUUCCCUUUCAGUACAGUAUUCAAGUUACAGGAGAUACUCAGCACUUAUAUAGAGUAAGCUUUGUGUUAGACGGUUUUGCCCAACUGUAGGCUAAUGUAAGUGUUCUGAGCGUGUUUAAGGGAGGCUGGGCUGAGCCAUGAUGUGUCAUAGAUUUGGUGUUCUCAAUGCAUUUUUGACCUACAAUGGGUUGAUGAGGACGUGAUCUAUAUGUGACACUGACAUGCACUGGCCUUCCCUCAUGUGAGGUGCCCUCCAAGGUCUUGCACAGUUCCUCCUGAACAAGCCAUCCUCCUAGCCUAUUUACAAACUUGGAACUUUUAAACUGGUACCAGCUACCUAGUACACACCAUGCAGUUCAUCACCACACAUAAACAGACCCAGUGGAUGCAGGGACAGUGGUGGAGAUGGAUUGCUCAAGUUGGCGGUUGGGAGUCCCAUCAAUUGGAGACCAUCCAGAACCACUGAAAGUCCACAAAGUCACGUUUGGUAUUUGCUGCAGCAAGUUUCAGGGGGCUGGAGGCAUCUCAGCUGGAGGGAGUUAGGGAACGAUAAUCACAGCCUUUAAGAUUACAGAGUUUUAGGAUGGGCUUGGCAGGGGCGGGUCAGAUUUUGUCAACUGGAGGGCUGCUAGAAAAGCCAAUUGUCUUUAUGAGUGAGCAGGUGUUAGGAGGUGACACGCAGAUGUUUGGGAUGUCGGAGCUGAAUAUGGGUGCUCGUAUAGGUUGUGUGAGUCCCAGGGCAGCCCAUCUUGAAAGGCUGUGUGUCUGUUUCAGUGCUCAGCUCCCCCACAGCCUGGCUGGCAGCAGGGCAGCUUUGCAUUUUCAUCACGAGGAGCAUAUGGCAAACAGGAGAGCUGGACAGAUGUCAGGUGGUGACCUGCCUACCUGCCGGCUUUGUCUCCUCUCCCGCCAGCAGUGAGAGGUAAGGCUGUGUGCAGUGACGCCUGCGAGCCUGCAGGGAAGGACCUGACCUCAGAGGAAUUCUGUCAUUUGUCUUGGGACUCACUUCUGAUCUAGACAUAAACUGUGUUCCCCUUCUGUUUGUCUAAGAGGAGAAGGAAAUGCAGGCCAUGCGCUCUGGUUCUUAGGGCAGAACUGUAAUGAGGCCCUUCACUUGCCUGUGAGGUCUCCCAAUGCACCUGAAAGCAGAGAUCCCCAGUGAUCCCAGAUUAUUGACAAAGAAGAGAGUGACUGGUCUGGGCUGUGGACAUUUGAAGAGAAGUGUGCUCGGCAGUGGCUGUCACAUUCCCCAGGAUGGAGAGGACCCUUCCGCCAGCGAGGACACAAUUCAACCUACAGCAUGAGGUCUGUUCUGCUUCCAAGGCAAGAGGUUGGGACAGAGCUGGAGUUUGGCCUAUAGGACAGCCUGAAACCCUCCAUGUUGCUGGAAGACUAAGUCGACCUUUGAGACAACCAUUCACGCCCAGUCUUAUCAUUUAAGAUUAGCAAUGGUUGCUACUCAUGUGAAACCUUCGUAAGAUUGUUUAUCAGUGAUACCAUCAUUAAAAAAAAGGAAG